GACGGGUUGCACCUGGGUUUGGGUUAAGGGUUUAGAUAUGGGUUUGGGCCUGGGUUUAACUAUGGGUUUGGGCAUGGGUUUAACUAUGGGUUUGGUUCUACUAGGUCAAUGGGUUUGAAUCUGGGCUAAGCUGAAUGUCAUUUGGGUUUGGACUUGGUAGCACGGCCUAAGGGUUUUAGGUUUAAGGGUUAUUGGAUCUGAGUUUAAGGGUUUGGGUCGGGUCGACCCAGUUUCAAGCAAUAGUUUGGCUGGUUUCUAGGCAAGGUUUCAAACAAUCAUAAUUUCUCCAAUACUCAACCAUAUUGAGUGAUUCAAAAACCAAAGUUGUAGUAUUCAACGAGAUGAAAAGAAUGAUACCUUAUACGACUGCUAACUCACCGUGGUUUGGCCGAAAAAUGCUUCGAAAGUGGUGAUGUUGGCUGGAAAACUGUGAAAAGCUACUUCGAGCUAUUUUCUGUGAUUAACACGUAUGUACUACUUAAAACAAGCUUUAAUCUAACCCUAUAACACAUCCCAAGGGUUCUAGAAGUUUACCAAUGUUGCAAAAUCAUGAAACACUUCUGGGAAGACAAUGAAUAGUGACACCAUCACUGUGGAGUUCCUCGGUGUUCAUACGGGGUUUUCUAAGUCUCUCCGUCCAGGUGGUAAGCGUGGUAAGCUCAGGGUUAUGUGUGUGAAGCUCAGAGAGGGGAGAUGGAGCUUACAGAAAGGGAGAAAGUGUCUAGGGGUGAGGGGAGAGAUAGAGAGAAUGAGAGAAAAUGAGGGAGAGAGAUGUGAAAGUUGUGAUAGAGAGAAAGAGAGAAAGAAAGAAAGAAAGCUCACGGGUCCAAAAGGAAGAAAAGGAAAAAGGGUCGGGGGACAACCAAAAGGAGUGGGCCCCUUGGGCACACCAAAUAAGACCCAAUAGUAACCAUUUCAAAAUAUCUAGCCCAAUACCAAUGAAAUUGCCAAAAUAACCUUUCGUUCUAAAAUCUGUAAAAUUAUUCGAGACGGUUUGUUACAAUCUAACCCCGUUAAAUAAUCGUCUCGAAUCGAAAUUUGAAAUAACUUGCUAUACAAAAAUACUCAAAGAUAGGAAGAAGAAUAUACAUAUACGUAAAGAAGAAAUCAAGUUAGAGCGGUUGCAAAAAAAAAGGGAAAAUGCCACACCGUCGCGAUCGAGUUGCAAUGAUUCUCCUUUCAUGCCUCGAGGCUUACACCUUUUUCUCCCAUCCGUGUAAAAGUAGAAACAUACUUUAUAACGAUAUAAAGUCGAAAAUAUAUACUAGCAUAAGGUCGAAAAUAAGUAUGCUUAAGACGAUAACGUCAAAAUAGAUAUGUAAUAACAUAGAGGUCAAAAACUCAUAUUGAAAUUAACACUGAAAGUGAAAAAAACUCAACCAAACAUUUGUAAUGUCAAAACUACAAAUAUAUAACUAAUAUAAAGUACGUUAAAAUACUUGUAGUGAAAAUCAAAACCAAAAAUGAAAGUGGGUCUCGCCCAAGCAUACACAACAUCACGUACUACGAGAAAAAUUAUGUCUUUAGGUCGAGCCUCUACAAUAACUAAAUAGUAAUAACUAUCGCAGACAGGUCUAUCUGCCCACUUGCUUAACAAACCCAACGAAUAAGCCAUUGAUAUCACAGUCUGCAGCCUGCAAUAUCGACCACACAUUGUUGUCUCGAUAAACAAGUAGUAACUUCCCAAGGGUGUAAAACAAAACACUGAAAACUCAUAACCAACGUUAAGAAAAGUUGGGACUGGAGCAUGAGUAAGACGAUGUUCCAAACAUCCAAAAGUUUCUUUCUUAAUCAAGGUCCCACAAAGAUUUUUACAAGAAAGGGUGUUAGUAGGUUUUCAAGUAAGAUGGUAACCGUUGGUUCAAGGUCAUAGCUAGGGUGGUUCAAAUCAUGCGGUCUUAACCGUCAAGAUGAACACACGUCACUCGAUCCUGCUGCGUCAGCAUGCAGCCAAACAUUUAAUAAUACACCAUCGUAGAAUUCAAAAAGUGUAUGAACUACGAUCAUAUGAGACAAUAAUCCAUUGUCAAACUUCAUUCACCAUUAGUGUCACAACAAAUUGACUGGUUUCUUAGCAAAAAAAAAAAAAGGCUAAGCUCAAUGAAUCGUUAGGAACUACUAAAAGAAACUGACAAACUAAGGAUAUUUUAUGUUUCACAACACCUUGUGAGGAUUCUCAAUUUCCAAUGGUUGCAACCCCUUUAUGGAAAUUGAAGAGAAUAGUGUCUGCUACCAAAGAGUCUCCCAGUAAGUAUAUAAUUUAAAUGAAGUCAAUGCUCGAAGAAAUUGGUGUGAAGCUGACAGUCGAUGGUUACAGAACUUGACUUCUCUGUUGGAGUAAGCAAGAAGGUUAUCGAUAGAACAAUCAUUGGGAAUUGUUCUAAGGAUCCACACGAAUUUCCUUAACAGGAACGAGUCUGAGAACAUUGAUUCGAUCCCACUAAACUACCACUUACUAAACUUCGUAAUAACUAACGCUUACUCAGCUUUCUCCAACACGCACUUCGAAUGUUUCGAGCAAUUAACAUAUAGAUAUGACUUUGCCCGCUAUUGUUAAGGAACGCAUGUCGUAGAGUAACAUCACUGUUUUAGAUCUCCAAACUCAAACCACUUAAAUUUUUCCGUUUCACCAUAGAUACAACCAUGCACGCAA
rnacentral:lncRNA from 1 species